rnacentral:snoRNA from 17 species
AUUUGAAUGAUGACUUAAGUGUCGGAUACCCCUUCACUCCUUUCAUGGAUGAAAACAUUACAGUCUGACAAAC